rnacentral:lncRNA from 1 species
ACAUGUGGUGUGCACUAUAUGAAACCCAAUCUAAAUCAGUUCUAAGCAUCUAAAUAGAGUUACCAAACCUAACGAUUAGUCAAAAGUGCAUCCCAUAACAACCUCAAACGUAUAUCAAUGAAAUUCGUGAUGAGUGGAAGAAUAUAUUACCAAAAGAAAGCAAAUUUGAUGUUGGGAGAAGCUCAGCGAAAUCCUGCAAACUUAGAUGAUUCAAGCUGCAAAAUUCACAAGUUCUGCAAAUAGAAUACGAAAAUUAGAGAAAUCAUUGUAAAUGGAGGAAGAGAUGGAAAACGGAAUACCUCUCCCCCAAUCUAGAAAAUUAGGGUUUUUGAAUCUACUCAAGCCGAGUCUACAUCGACGAGCUUGUGGCUGAUGGAGGCGAGAUAGGCUGAAGCUCGAAUCAGAAGGUGUAGAAUAUUUUCUGGGUUUUCAGAUUUUUGCUUCAACUUUGAGAGAGCCUAACUUUCUGUUCAGGGCUUUGUUUUCAAAACUCAAGCUAUGUACUUAAAGCUUGUAAUCUCAUCUUUACAAUAGGCUUUGGUUCAUAAACUUUUGUUGGAUUUGAGUGAGUGAAAAAUGAAGCCAAAAACAUCAUCUUACACACUGUUUUGACACAAUGCUGAUAAAUGAAACCUUGUUCUAACUCAGUCUUUUCUUUAACAGCUGAUUCCUAUGUUUUGCAGUAGCUCAUUAAACAACUUUUGAGUCUUAUUUUGUAUCUGGUUUAUAGUUUAGAGUUUCUUAUUUAUGUAUAUUACUUGCAACAUAGUACUAAAUCUAGUUUUUCAUUCUUUGUAUGUACUUUACCUUUUGGGUAAGGUUCUGGAGACGAUCUUGGCAAUCCACAAGUGUGAGAGGUGGCGUUGGAUCUUGAGUUUUGCUGUGCAAUCGAGGUAGGGUUUGAUGGGGUGUUUGUGUUAUUGUUAUUUAUCCUAUUACAUGGUUUGUUUGAUAUUGAAUUGUUGAUGACAUUGGAUGAUUUGUGAAAUUGGAUUAUUUGGUAUUGGAUUGUUUGACAUUGAAUUGUGUGGUAAUAUUCGAAUUAAAUGUGGAUGAUAUUGAGAUCUUGAAUUGAUUAUGAUAUGUUUAUAUUUGAAAGCAUGUGUUCUUAAGUGGAAUCUAUAUUAUUACAUGACGUUAUUAUAUUAAAACUUAUAGACCUAUCAAAUAAAACUUAUAAAUAAAACUAUAAUACCUAUCAAAUAAAACUAUAAACUAUAAUACAAGUUUAAGCUUAAGCUUCACUGAUUCAGUGUUUAUUUGUUUGGUGUUUUAUUUAAUUGGCAGCUCUAAAUGCUUGUUAUUAGGAUGUUAAUAGAGUUAUUGUUGCUGUUUUAAUUUGAUUUGUGUUUUGCGCAUCCGUAUAACAUGUAGCUGUUUGGAUUUGUAAAUUUUGGUAGGUGUAAUGCAAUUAUAAUUUAGCAUGAAUAAGAGCUGGAUAUCUUGGGAUCCAAAUAGUUCCCAGUACCAAGAAAAGGUUAAAGAUUUUAUUGAAAACUCUAAGAAGUUUGCAAGGAAUCCUGACAGGGUCAUCUGUCCUUGCUUAAUCUGCCGAAACCAUAGUCCACGAAAUGAUGAAACGAUAUUGUUUCAUUUGACCAAAUAUGGGUUUGAUCCGACAUAUAAGGUCUGGGUCGCUCAUGGUGAGCCAAAUUUAUUAGGAAGAUGUGCAAAAGUUGAUGAGUUUGCAAAAUCAACUGAUAUUUAUGAGGAUACUGAAAUGCUUGAAGUGCAUCAGAUGUAUGAAGAUGUUUGUUUUCGGUUACCAGUUGAAGGUGAAUCCCCUAGUUUAAUGAAUGUAGAUGAUAGGUAUCAGAAAAAGAUUUCAGACGCUAAAGUUCCUCUACACCCUGGUUGUACAAAGUACUCAAAACUUUCAGCCACCUUAAUUAUGUAUACGUUGAAAGCUGAAUCUGGUCUAUCUAAUUCUGGCUUUGAUAAGUUAAUGAGUGUGUGUGAAGAUAUGCUACCAGAGGCAAAUACUUUCCCCGAGUCACUGUCCACAGUCAAGAAAACACUUAAAGAUUUUGAUUUAGGGUAUGAGAAGAUAGAUGCAUGUGUCAAUGAUUGUAUCUUGUUUAGGGGAAAGGACUAUGAGAACUUACAAUGACAAGACCCGCCCCAAAUUUCACCCUGAAACCCGGAGUAAGUCGUGCGGGGACCACCUCCAAGGAAAAUUUUACCGAAAAGAUUGGUAAAACCUCUCUUGAAAAUGGACAACCUUAACUCGAAAAUUUCAAAUUUACACUCUUACUACAACACGUCCAAACUUCACAUAAAUAUCCAGCUAAUAAAAGUAAACAUUAUCGUUCAGAGAUUCUAAACAUCAAAUCAACAGGCCGAGCACACCACCGAAAUAAUAUACAACAAUAUCAAAGUAUCCAGAGCUACUAGACUCUAGCGGAAGCAAGAAAACACGAGUAGGUUGAACAGGUAACCUACUAAGGAAAACUGGCGGAAAAACGGGUGACUAUGCGUCGUCUCCUACUAGAUCCAACCCGAACUCUGCAGACUGGGCAUUUUAAAACAAAAGGCCCAGGGGAAAAACCUUUAAUAACGUUAGAGUGAGUGGACAAAAAUAAAUUAAUAAGAAAAAUAUUUAUGUUUCCCCAAAUCCAUUUCUAAGGAAAAAAUCGAAUGCAUGCCGCAAGCGAUAAAACUUUUAUCUCAUAAAAUAUCGAGCCUCUCAGACUCUAUAAUAUAUGUAUGUAUUUACACACGUCCAUACUCCCUAUAUAAAUUCAUGGGUCUAUAUAGGGCUACUACGCUCGCGUCCAACGCUCACGUCACGCCUUAAUGCGGUGCUACACUACGCCAUUAAGGUGGACAGACGGGUGUAUAAAUAUGUGUCCAUACCCCCUAUGUGAAUUAAACACUCAUAUAAGGCUACUACGCUCACGUCCAACGCUCACGUCACACCAUAAUGCGGCUAUAUGCUACGCCAUUAAGGUGGACAGACACAUAUGGCUAACUAGCAUUUAUAUACAUACUCUCCUCAUAAAUACAUAUUUAUAUCCACCGAAAAUCCCAUUUUCGGUAACUCUCCAAGAGAAAUAAAAAUCGUCAAAUUAAAAUGAUGUCAAAAUAUUCCGCAACAUUUAUUGUUCAACCAUGAACUAUAGCAUGCAUUUAUUUAAAAUAAACGUCCACUCACAAAUUUGGCCUAAGUCUGAUGUCGAUCUGGGGCCUCGUCUGCUCGAGCCUCCUCACGUCCUGUUCCAAAGAUAAUAUUAAUUUCCCACUAAAAUUCCAAUAAUUAAACAAAAUGGGCAAAAUUAAACGUGAGCCUCCCACACACCCAUCAUUGCCCAUCUACGCCAUUCUUAACUCAAAAUGGCUCAACCUUCACCGAACAUACCGCAGCCGUAAAUACAACCUCCCCCAAAAUACGACUUAAAUCCUACGGCCGGAUUCUACAUUAUUUAACCGCCAAAAAUACCACACUUCGGAAAUUCAUAAACCUAUCCAAAACUCAUCCAAAAAUUCCAUAACUCACUUCAAUAAACUCCCCUUAAUAUUCCAAAUUUAACAACAUUAAAAAUCUCCCAAACAGCUCUGGCGUCGGCGGCCGGAGGCCGAUUCCGGCGACCUCCAAAUUCUAUGAAAAUUUGACAGCAUAAUCCUCUUAUCAUGCUCUACAACUUCUCUAACUAGCACAAACCCAAAAUCUAAGCCUAGCUAGGGUAAUCGACUAAAAACAUCCUAAAAGCCCUAGAAAUUUCAACUCCACAUUUCUCCUUACCUAGCUCAAGAGAGAGUGAGCUUUUAUAAGGAGGGGUUGCUGCACGGGAGGAGGGCUACAAAACGAGCUAAGGAUCGUCGGCUGUGGUGGCCGGAGGAGGGAGUUCCGGCGACGUGAAGCUUUGGACAGUCGAACCUUUCGGGGGAGAGCGCUCCUUCAUGGCGGAGCUAGGGCGGCUGUCACCGGUCCAGGGAGGUAGCUGGGUCGGAGGCCGUCAGUUUUCGACCGGAGCGACGGCAGAUGGUGGUCGGACGGCGGCAGGAGGACGGCCAGAAAACCGGACAGCGGGAGGAAGAAUUCAGGGGAAGGAAAAUCGGGAGAAGAGAGAGAAGUGAGUGUGUGGGUGUUGGGCCUCUCCCACACCCGGUCCAAACUCAUAUAAAUCAACCCACUCCAAAAUAAAACACUCCGAAAAAAUAAUACCCUAAUAAAAAUUACCUUUUACUAGCUAAAAUUUACCAUUUUUACCGUUGUCGUAUUUUCCUCCUACGAAUAAUCCUCCGCACAUAAUCGUCCCCAAAACCCCUCUAGGGACCAAUUAAACUAUUAACUCAAUGACGGAGACGGUAAAAUUCUUAUUAUAAUCAAGCUAGUAAAUAAGGUAAAAAUUUAAGGGUCGGGAUGUGACAUACAAAAAUGUCCUGAAUGUGAUGCUCCGAGGUAUAAAGUAAACCCACAUACUGGCAAGAUAAAAGAAGGAGUUGGUGCAAAAGUAUUACGCUACUUUCCUAUAAUUCCAAGACUUCAACGGAUGUUUCUUUCAGCAUCUGUAUGUGAGCAAUUAACAUGGCAUUCUAGUCAUCACAGUCAAGAUGGCAAGACGCGUCAUCCUGUGGACUUAGUUUGUUGGAGUUCCAUAGAUAAAAAAUACCCUACUUUUGCAUCUGAUCCGAGGAAUCUGAGAUUUGGACUUGCAACUGAUGGUGUCAACCCGUUCAGUAAUCUUAGCUCCACACAUAGUCUUUGGCCAGUUAUCCUAGUCAUCUAUAAUCUUCCACCAAAUGUGUGCAUGUCUUCUGAAAAUUUAAUGCUAAGCUUACUCAUUCCAGGCCCUAAACAACUUGGAAAUGACAUUGAUGUAUACUUGCAGCCCCUUAUAGAUGACUUAAAACUGCUGUGGGAUGGUGUUGAUAUAUAUGAUGCCUAUUCUAAAGUCAUGUUUAACCUCAGAGGUAUCCUAAUGUGGACUAUUAAUGAUUUCCCGGCUUAUGGGAAUUUAUCUGGGUUAACCAAUAAAGGAGAAUUUGCUUGUCCUGUUUGUGGUCCUGAAACUUGCUCUUACUAGCUACCACUUGCUCGUAAGACUAUUUACAUGGAUCAUAGAAGAUUUCUGUCAGCAAACCAUGUCUUUCGUAGAAAAAAUAAGUGGUUCAAUGGAAGAAAGGAGAGAAGGGUGAGGCCUAAAAUAUUUACAGGAAGAGCUACAAUCUGUGCUUUAGCUGGGUUCUCAAAUAAGUGGGGGAAAAAACAAAAGAAACUGAAGAAACUUAAAAAAGGAGAUCCAGCCAAGUUAUUAAAAAAGAAGUCCUUAUUUUUUGAAUUGCCGUAUUGGAAGGUCAGUAUUAUAUUCUUACUGUUAUAUACUACUUUAAAUUAAUAGGAUUGUGAUGGGGAAUUAUAAGUUUGAUAUGUAUUUUGUUUGCUAAAUUUAUACAGGAAUUGCUUGUGCGACAUAAUUUGGAUGUCAUGCACAUUGAAAAAAAAGUGUGUGAGAGUGUUUUAGAUACAAUCUUAGAUGUGAAGGAAAAAUCAAAAAUUGGGGCAGCUUCACGUAGAGAUCUAGAGUUACAAGAAUUAAUGGAAGAUGUUCCAGAAGUAGCAAGAGAAGAUAAGCUGGAUUCUUCUGGACCUUACACCUUUACAAAGUCUGAGAUGGCAAAAUUUGUUUGGAGGUUGUGGAUGCAAAGGUUUCCUGAUGGAUAUUGCUCCAAUAUUGGAAACUGCAUCAAGAUUAAAGAGAGCAAAAUUCUAGGGUUGAAGUCCCAUGAUCAUCAUGUCUUGAUGCAGCAACUUUUAUCUGUUGCUGUUAAGGGGCUUUUACCUGAAGGUGUUUGAAAACCAAGUCAACUAUAAUAACCAACCACAACUCCUGGAGUCCUUCACUCCCCACAACAAAAACCAAGUCAUAGCAGUAAUUAAACAACCCAAACCAAGUAUUCAAUGGCAUUACUUAAACAUGAACAUCAACCAAGAUUAAACUCUCUCUACGUGGGUCAUAGACCUAAGUGAAAAGUAAACACUUUAACUUAAUACACAUAAUCCCAUGGUCAUCAGAGCUCUACAAGAAGGAAAUAUAACACUACACAUAGGUUAACAGGUAACCUACGAUCAACAAGGUGCAGCGGGAAAACUAUGCCUCAACUCCUAGUGAAACCGAACAGGAGCUCUGCAAUCUGGGCAUUUGAAAACAAAGGGCCCAAGGAAAAGCAUUUAAAAACGUUAGCGUGAGUGGACGAAAAACAAACUAAUUAAAUAAGUAUCCAAGAGCAUAAUGAUACUAAAUCAAAAUUUUAUAUGCUUUUCCAUUUAUACGGAAACCAAGAAUUUUCAUGCAUGCAGAUAUUAUAAACUCAACCAAAAUUCCCACUAGCCCCGCUAGUCGUAAAACAAUAAGAAAAAUAAAUAGAUUUCUCGUAUAAAAAAAAACUUCCAAAAAUAAUGGACUAGCCCCGCUAGUCAAUUUAACAACUCAAAUAGAAUAUUAAAUAUGGCCAUAUAAGUGAGUCUCCCAGACUCGGUUGCCUCCCAGGCAUAGUACUCCCAUACUCCCUGUACCUUCACGUCGAGUUGACGGAUAGGGCACAGGGCUUGCGUGAUGCCGCCGGCAACAUCACAUCACCACCAAGGUGGAAAGGGCUUGCGUGACCCCACUUGAAACAUGGCUGUCACAUCACCUCGAAAGGUGGAACGACAUGCUAGCAUUGACAUCAUAUAUAUUCCAAGAAUAUGGCAUAAGGAAAAUAUAAAUCAUAUGAGUUUCCCCGAAACUCAUAAAUAAAAUAUAAGUACGAUUCCCAACCGUACUUGGAAAAAUUCUAAGAGCAAUAUAGUUAAUUAAAUUCAACGUGUCUCACACGUUAACAUGCUUAAAAUAGAAUAACUCAAAUCAUUUUCAAGAUCCCUUCAUAGAAGAAAUAAUAAUAUCAACUUAGAAAAUUAGUGAUGAUUUUCUAAACAAAUCAUGCAUGCAUACUCCUUUAAAAAUAAAAUGUCCACUCACAGUAUAGACGGCUAAGCCUGACGUCGGUCAGAGCCCUCCUCACUUGGUGUCUCCUCUCGUCCUGUACAAAAUGAGAUUUAAGGUCCGAGACAAAAAUAAUACAAGAAUAUCAAAGUAACAAAAUAGGGCAAUGUCAUCUACCCUCACUCUACACUCUCCAAAAACUAAGGAGAACUCCAACCAUUUUUACUAACCUUCUCCAAUUUUUCCUCAACGUUCUAACACUUAAGCACAAAUAUGGAAAUUCCCAAGGAUGAGGCUCACCUCUACUCUUCCACCAAAAUUAACUUAAAUUUUUUCUAAAUUCCUACCAACAUAUACCAUAAUUUUUAAUACUUCAAUACACUCCUUUUUCCUCCAUGGAACAACCAAAACUAUCCCAAAUUCCAAGCACCUAUCACCAAAAAUCCUUCUACACUUUAACAACUUUAUACCCUUCUAGAAAUUCAAACAAAACUCUUCACAACCACCACCACAAACGGCAGCAACCACCAGUAGUGGCGGUCAACUGCCGGCAGUGGCAGUCAACCACCAUCUCUCCCACAAUUCCGAGCAAAANNNN